rnacentral:rRNA from 1 species
AGAGUUUGAUCAUGGCUCGGGAUGAACGCUAGCGGCAGGCUUAACACAUGCAAGUCGAGGGGCAGCGGGGUGUAGCAAUACACUGCCGGCGACCGGCGCACGGGUGCGUAACGCGUACGCAACCUACCCAUAACAGGGGCAUAACACUGAGAAAUUGGUACUAAUUCCCCAUAACAUUCGAAGAGGCAUCUCUUUGGGUUGAAAACUCCGGUGGUUAUGGAUGGGCAUGCGUUGUAUUAGCUAGUUGGUGGGGUAACGG